UAUAUGUUCACAUUUAAGGUUUUCUACAAUAAACACACAAAAUAUUUAUUUACAGUGAAGAGUUACAAUGUGCCGACCUCAACAGAGGACCCAAACCAACAUGCUCUAAAACACCAAAGAAUGUUUGGUGUUGCAGCAACAAUUCACACUGCCGGGAAACCAAAGCGCUAUGUGAGAAGAUUUGUUGGGUCUGCGGUUGAAUUUUUCUGAAGAGAACUUCUAUAAUUAUUUAUUCCAAAUAUUUUUUUACUUCCAUUAGUCUAAAUUCGAAUAAUAAAUAGUAAUUCUUAUUCCAAAUAAGAAUCUAGUAUUAUGAACUAAAUAAUUUGGUAUACCUUCGAAAGAGAUCGAAAUAUAUAUUGUUGCUUAUGGCUUUCUUCAAUUGUAUUUUAGAAGUUUAUAAAUGUUAUGUAAAAUUGAGAAUAAAACUAUUUUAGACUGUUUAACAGAA